rnacentral:rRNA from 1 species
UACGAAGGGGGCUAGCGUUGCUCGGAAUUACUGGGCGUAAAGCGCACGUAGGCGGACUCUUAAGUCGGUGGUGAAAUCCUGGAGCUCAACUCCAGAACUGCCUUCGAAACUGGGAGCCUUGAGUUCGGGAGAGGUGAGUGGAACUGCGAGUGUAGAGGUGAAAUUCGUAGAUAUUCGCAAGAACACCAGUGGCGAAGGCGGCUCACUGGCCCGAUACUGACGCUGAGGUGCGAAAGCGUGGGGAGCAAACAGG